UACGAGGGGGGCGAGCGUUGUUCGGAAUUAUUGGGCGUAAAGGGUGCGUAGGCGGUUUGGUAAGUCUGAUGUGAAAUCUAUGGGCUCAACUCAUAGUCUGCAUCGGAAACUGCCGUGCUUGAGGACUGGAGAGGAGACUGGAAUUUACGGUGUAGCGGUGAAAUGCGUAGAUAUCGUAAGGAAGACCAGUGGCGAAGGCGGGUCUCUGGACAGUUCCUGACGCUGAGGCACGAAGGUCAGGGGAGCAAACGGG
rnacentral:rRNA from 1 species